rnacentral:rRNA from 1 species
CAGCAGCCGCGGGAAUACAGAGGGUGCAAGCGUUAAUCGGAAUUACUGGGCGUAAAGCGCGCGUAGGUGGUUUGUUAAGUUGGAUGUGAAAUCCCCGGGCUCAACCUGGGAACUGCAUCCAAAACUGGCAAGCUAGAGUAUGGUAGAGGGUGGUGGAAUUUCCUGUGUAGCGGUGAAAUGCGUAGAUAUAGAAAGGAACACCAGUGGCGAAGGCGACCACCUGGACUGAUACUGACACUGAGGUGCGAAAGCGUGGGGAGCAAACAGGAUUAGAUACCCCAGUAGUCCCUGUCUCUUAUAC